rnacentral:rRNA from 1 species
ACUUAAGCAUAUCAAUAAGCGGAGGAAAAGAAACUAACAAGGAUUCCCCUAGUAACUGCGAGUGAAGCGGGAAAAGCUCAAAUUUAAAAUCUGGCGGUCCUUGGCCGUCCGAGUUGUAAUCUAGAGAAGUGUUACCCGCGUCGGACCGUGUACAAGUCUCCUGGAAUGGAGCGUCAUAGAGGGUGAGAAUCCCGUCUUUGACACGGACUACCGAGGCUUUGUGGUGCGCUCUCAAAGAGUCGAGUUGUUUGGGAAUGCAGCUCAAAAUGGGUGGUAAAUUCCAUCUAAAGCUAAAUAUUGGCGAGAGACCGAUAGCGAACAAGUACCGUGAGGGAAAGAUGAAAAGAACUUUGGAAAGAGAGUUAAACAGUACGUGAAAUUGCUGAAAGGGAAACGCUUGAAGUCAGUCGCGUCCUCCGGGAAUCAGCCUUCCUUCUGGUUGGUGUACUUCCUGGUGGACGGGCCAGCAUCAGUUUUGACCGGUGGAAAAAGUUCGAGGGAAUGUGGCACCUCCGGGUGUGUUAUAGCCCUCGUUCGUAUACAUCGGUUGGGACUGAGGAACUCAGCACGCCGCAAGGCCGGGAUUCGUCCACGUUCGUGCUUAGGAUGCUGG